GUCGCAAAGAGACGGUCUCAGUACUUGUCUAGCUCUGCUAGAGGAAGGUUGUAUAUGUGCUAGAGAGGAUUUGCUAGAAAAUGUGACUCAAGAGUAGGGAAGUAUGUUGGGGAGUGUUAGUAGAGAGUGCUUGAAUUCAUCAUCAUCAUCUUAUAGCAAUAAUCAGGCCCAGGACCCUUAGAACCUAGUCAUGGCAGCACUACUGGAAAGCACUGUUACACUCGUCACAGCUAAAGAAGACAGUUUAGAUAUACCAACUGAGAACUGUGAUGGAUCCAGAAACUACACUCCAAUACAUGUCAAAAUGAAGCCUGUUGAGGACGUAUAAUUUGAAACAUGAACCGUCCACUCCAACAAUGAUACCCUGACUUCACACAUUCGAUGCCUGCGAGAAAACUACAACAUUUUACACUUUUUAUCAACGACAACACAUUUGGAUUAACACAUUCAAAGCUUGCAGAUCAAUUUCACCUAGCCACUACGCUUUUGAGACUGCAAAAAGAAGAAACUAGUUCUAGUAUUAAUCCUCAUUUGACGGUAAAUAUUUUUGCUAGUAUUAUCAUGUUUUCCAUUUUUAGACAGGCUUGUAAGUUAUGGGAAUUAUGGCAGUAUUAUUACUACGAUUUUAAGAUUCAGUUUAUCACUCCUUAAUCGCUCAACCAAUGCAAAACUAUUAAUACUACAUCAUUUUAUUUUCAUGACCUGUAGGUCCUCCAAAUUCUACUUGGUGACUUCCAGCUAUUUGUAGAACCAUAACUUGACUUUUACCCUUUUUCUCGAGUUUUUGGUUCUCCUCGACCCUUCAGGACAGAUAACUUGUCCUAGCCCAUGUUCUUCAAUUAUAUUGUUUGCCUUCUUUAUUCAAAGGACUGAGGUGGGGACAGUUUAAAGCUAUAGCAAAGGACUACUAAGGGACUUAGCCUCUUGGAUUAAGGUAGACAAGCAAUUUAUUGAAGACCAUGGACUAGGCCAAACUAUUUGCCCCCUUGGAUUAAUGUAGACAAGCAAUUUAUUGAAGAACAUGGACUAGGCCAAGCUAUUUGCCCCCUUGGACUAAGGUAGACAAGCAAUUUAUUGAAGACCAUGGACUAGGCCAAGCUAUUUGCCCCCUUGGACUAAGGUAGACAAGCAAUUUAUUGAAGAACGUGGACUAGGCCAAGCUAUUUGCCCCCUUGGACUAAGGUAGACAAGCAGUUUAUUGAAGAACAUGGACUAGGCCAAGCUAUUUGCCCCCUUGGAUUAAGGUAGACAAGCAGUUUAUUGAAGAACAUGGACUAGGCCAAGCUAUUUGCCCCCUUGGACUAAGGUAGACAAGCAAUUUAUUGAAGAACAUGGACUAGGCCAAGCUAUUUGCCCCCUUGGAUUAAGUUAGACAAUCAAUUUAUUGAAGACCAUGGACUAGGCCAAGCUAUUUGCCCCCUUGGAUUAAGGUAGACAAGCAAUUUAUUGAAGACCAUGGACUAGGCCAAGCUAUUUGCCCCCUUGGACUAAAGUAGACAAGAAAUUUAUUGAAGACCAUGGACUAGGCCAAGCUAUUUGCCCCCUUGGACUAAGGUAGACAAGCAAUUUAUUGAAGAACAUGGACUAGGCCAAGCUAUUUGCCCCCUUGGAUUAAGGUAGACAAGCAAUUUAUUGAAGAAUAUGUACUAUUUGUCCUGAAUGAUACGAAGAUAACCAACAACCUGAGAAAAAGGGCAAACAAUUGAAAUUUAUCAAAAAUUAGGUGGACGUUAUUAUUUUUCUUCCGAGAGACUAUAAACGGUGUAUAACCAACAUAUUAUGUGGAAUCUGUACAAUUACUACAAUAAUACCGUACAAUUUCACCUAGUACACAAGUGUACUCUCAAAGAAAGUUUCAAAAGCUCGAUUUGAAUGAAUUUGACCAUUUAAAUUUGAAUCAAUAUUAGUUUUGCAUUGUAAGCGUUCCAUGUAUUUUGUUGUAAUUUUUUCUUUUUUAUUUUCCAACUAAAUUCGAUCCAAAUUAGGUUUCCACAAUAUUUACUCUAAAUAAAAAUUAAUUCAAAAAUGAUCAAGAUAGGUUAAUAAACGUACAGUAACAUUACUGACCAUACUUCACUCUUAGAAUAAUAGAUGUGCUUUCUAGCAAUAAGAAAGUCAGUGAGAACUACCCACUUCUGAUUCACAAUAUCAUAUUUUUUGUGUGUUUUGUGUCCAUUUUACAUUUAAAUAUUUUCGCUGUGAUCUUCUUUGAUCUCAUUCCAUUGUACAGCUUCAAUCAAAUUAUUGUGUGCUGCUUUCAUGUAUGUAUGCAUUGAAAUAUUAUCAUAAUUUAUCAUGUAGAUUACAGUGUUAGAAGCUUCAACUUAAUAUUUGUAUGUGUAGGUUACUCAUGAUAUGGUUGUAACAUAAUAUAUGUGUUUGAAGUGUGGAAAUUCAUGAAUAUGCUCAACUUAGCAAUGCGUGAACGCAUGAUACGCGUUCGAACAUAUACGAAUCUUUUCAGAUUCACUCUCAGUCUCAAAGGCUGGUUUGGAAGGAGUCUUUGGAUGAUUUACUUCUACAGGAUGUCUGAUAAGUCACUCCCUAUUUUUAUACAACUAUAAUUUCUUUAUGAACCAAAUUUGUUAGAACAGAGGUUGAUGCCUCAUUUCAAGUCACAUCUUUCUUCUUCUUCUUUUCUACUUCCUCUCUUCCUUCUCGAGGAUUUGAGCUCUUUUCAAUAACAUUUGAAUUCAACUUGGAGUUACUAGUCUUCUCCAAUUUACAAAAUACGGAAUUAUCGAACAUGUUGAUGACGAAACGCAGCAAAAAAUAAUUGCAAUAUGGAUGUCAAUGAAAUUUUUGGUAGCUCGAGAAGCUCAUCACCAAUCUUGAAAGAUGUACUUACGAAUGAGAAUGGGUUAGAGAAUGAGGUUGAAAAGUACAUGGUGAACGAAAAGGAGUCUCGAACUCGCCGUAGGGCAACCAAUGUUUGCACCAGACUUUAGCACUAUGAGAGCACACAGGGCGAGACCUGGCCUGUCCCCGGCUAGCAGCUGGUCAUUGGGCUUGUACGACGCACUCCCCGAAGUUUCGCCAAGUUUCGCAGCUCAAGAAACUCAUCUACUAUCUUGAAGGAUAUAGGUACUUACGAAUAAAAAUUGGAUAGAAAAUGAGGUUGAAAAGUACCAAAAAAUGGCCCUACGGGGAUGUUAGGACUCCUUUUCGUUCGCCAUGUACUUCUCAACCUCAUUCUCUAACCCAUUCUCAUUCGUGAGUACAUCUUUCAAGAUUGGCGACGAGCUUCUCGAGCUGCAAAAUAUUUCAUUGGACAUUUGCAGCCAAUCCAUCAUCAUAAUAUUACUAUUAUUCUAUCUUCGUACUCAAAAAUAAGUUUGGAUAGUAAAAUUCCAUAACCAUUCUCAUCAUUUUGUAGCCUAAAUUAGGAUAGAUAAAUAGCUCUUUGAAUAAAAGUCUUUCGAAAUACCCAUUCCUCAGCAUAUUACAAAAGACGUACUAAGAGCUUUAAUUCAUGUUGUGACUUCACAGCUCCAAAAUUAUUAUGAGUAUGGUAAUGGUAUCCUUUUAAUGUAUAUUAAUUAAUAUUUAUGUUUUCCAGCUUCAUAACUUAUAUCAAUCAUCAAUAUAUUAUAUUCAGUACAAAGAAAAAUAAUUUUAACACUAGUCAUUGUUGAAUAAACGGGCUCCACGCUGCUUGAUUAAUAUUUUGCUUACUCCAUUCCUAUUUUUUUAUUACUGACGCUUAAUACUUUUUAAUUAGUAUAACUUGACAAUUAAUCUAGCUGUUUCCGUUUUUUGUGAGCUAUUCCCAUAUUAUGUUUUCAAUGAUCAUGAUAUUCAAGACGUCUUUUCCGCUAUGAUUGUAUUACAAAUGUAUAAAAUUAAACUUUUUCAUGUAACGUUUCCAUAACUUGAUAUUUUUCAAGUUAUUAUCUGCAUAAAUUAUUAAUCAUUCAAUGUUUUACUCUAUUAUAAUGAAAAUUGUUUCAAAUUCUACUUGUUAAAUUCCAAAGGUACAACUAUGCAACACGCAUUAGGUACUCAUUGCCAUUCAUUAUGCGCUCAAAAAGAUGUAAGCAUAUUUUUAUUGGAAAGUGAUGUGAUAUAUGUAUUGUAAUAAUGUUUUCUUGUACUAGCUAUAACAUUAUUAUUAUUAUCAAGACUGGAAAGUAUUCUAAAGUCUUCACAAACACUCCAUGUAGUAGGUAGCCUAUGUUAUUAAUUUACAAUUCCCAUGAUAUUAUAAAUUAUUUUGUAAUUGUAAGAUUUGAAGAAAUUCAACUAGCUGGCAUAGACUGCUAGAAAACUAGCCAAUGAUAAUCAAGAGACUGCUUUCGUUUUAUUUUGUCAUAGAUACACAUUUUAUUUAUUGUUAUUAGAACAAUCCCACAUUUUUACUGGAAUAUUUAUAGAAUUAUUGCAGUAUUUAUUAUUUUACAUGGCAGCUGUUUUAGUUUCUGCUUUUCAUAUUUUAUCUCUGUUUUCCAUAUUUCAUCGUAGUUAUAUAAUAUUUUUUUAUAUUAUUUUGUGUGGAUUAUUGCAAUUCUUUACCUUGAUGGUUAUCUGAUUCAAUAUUAAAGCAUGUCAAGUCUUUUCACAUGAUAAACUACUCAUAUUCAACAAGUAAGUUAUAAUAGGUUUGUGUAAAAUAAUUUUUCAACUAAAUUGUAACUUAUUGGGUUUUUAUUAAACUCAAAUAUUCUCUUAGAUACUUACAUUUAAUUGCUUAUUAAUUUCAAAUAUAUGACUAGUACUUCAUUUAAAACAUUCCUAGAUGUUCAAAUUUUGUUAUAAUUUAGAUUUUUCAAAUAUAUGAGUGUAACUUUUCAUCAGAAAAUGUGAAUUACUGUAGCUGAACAAACUAUUUUUCUAUUUUUCAUUGCUCUGUAAUAUUUUACAAUUUUCAUUAAAUGCUUGGUAUAAACUUGA
rnacentral:misc_RNA from 1 species